rnacentral:rRNA from 1 species
UACAGAGGGGGCAAGCGUUGUUCGGAAUUACUGGGCGUAAAGGGCGCGUAGGCGGCCUUCUAAGUCGAACGUGAAAUCCCUGGGCUCAACCCAGGAACUGCGUCCGAUACUGGAAGGCUUGAAUCCGGGAGAGGGAUGCGGAAUUCCAGGUGUAGCGGUGAAAUGCGUAGAUAUCUGGAGGAACACCGGUGGCGAAGGCGGUUCUCUGGGCCUGUACUGACGCUGAGGAGCGGAAGCGUGGGGAGCGAACAGG